CCUCAGCCGCACACCUCUUUCCCUCCAUUCUCAUCUCCUCUUCUCUCCCUUAGUUGGCGGCGCUGGGCGUCGUGGCGACGACGGCCUCCUCCUUCGUUGCUGCUCCCUGCACCGGCUUCCUCCACCUAGCUGCUCUCGGCGACGUUCUUGGGCCCAGGGUGGCCAGAUCGGGAGGUGGCGGCUCCGGGGCAGCCAGAUCGAGCGGCGGCAGGACAGCCAGAUUAGGCGACGGCAGCGGGCACAGUCCCGAGGCGGCUCGGCGACGGCGUGCGGCGGCAACGACAGCUUGCGGCGCCAGGCUUCUUCUUGGCCGUUCGCUGCGCUAGCUUCAUCCCUCCUCGCUCAGAUGCUUUGCCGACGAUGAUUAAAAUGAUGUGUAUUAUAUGGUUUGGAGAGGGAUUGUGGAGCAGCAAUGCAUGGUUUGGGUUGUGUUGAGGGCAGAUCUUGGUGUGUUUGCUAUGGAGGGGAAAUUAUUGCUAGCUAGCAACACACUCAUCGAUUUUGCUGUGCCUAGAUCCAAAAAAAUUGCUAUUAGGUCCUACUGUUUUGGCAUGCCUAUGUAUUCAUGGGUUUACAUCAUGAUUUAUUGAUUUUGUUGCACCUAAGUAACAGCUCUUUUGAUAUGCCUAUGCCAUAGUUUUUUUUUCAUGUUUUAGCUUAUAUCAAACCAUUGACAAGGAGUUUUGAAUAUAAAGAGCUGACUACACACAUUUUGCUCACCUUCCGAGUGAUGAGGUGGUGGUUUUUGCAUCGCAGAGGCAGAGAUAUUGAGUAAGAUCCAGCCCCGACCAAUUGAGGUUUAGUGGCUGAGUACUGGAUAAUGUGGUGGUUGAUAUGGUGUGCAGAUCUCAGCGAGACGUCGAAGCUACUUGACAAACUCAUUGUGCUCCAUGUGGUGCGCUAGUCAAAAAAGUGAACCAAAUGCAACAAUCAGUGAUGCAGUGAUGUAUGAUAUGACAUCGUUGGCUGGAUUUGCCAUAACUGAACCUUGCUAAAUAUAUGCUAUAAAAUGUGCUUCUGUAACAUAGCGUAUUCUGUCUAUUUUGGUCAGUGAAUUUGAGUGAUUGUAUUUGGUCACGUGGUUUUAUUUGGCAGUUAAUUGGGCUGUGA